GGUUAUUUUUGUAAUUUUCUAAAAAACAGAUGAUAUGUUCAUGAUAGCUUUAAUAGGGCAUAAAAUGUCACUUUAAUAAGAAUUGAAUAUAUUUAAAUUAUAGAUAUUAGAAAUAUCUCAUCAGGCCAAAAUUAUUUGAUUGCAAAAUUGUCAGUUUCCUCUCAUUCCCUCACCUCACAGCAGAUGAGCUUUUGGAGAUAAGUCAUUUUGACAUGUAGUACUGGAACAUGAAAUCUAUGUGCAAUUUAUAUUUUGAGUAGAAUUAUUUCUAUAAUUGACUUCUUUAUUAUUAUAAAGAAGUAGAUCCUCAUAUGUUUUUUCCUUUUGCCUUGACAGGGUUUAUUGACCCUGAUCCACUUUGUUGCCAAGACAAGUCGAGAACAACAACUAGAACCUACCGGAAAUCCCUUAUGGCCUGGGACUCCCCUAACUAAAACGAGGCCAUAGAAACAAGAUCUUCAGGCAAUGCAUGUAAAAAGUUUCCGAGCAAUUCCACCUUACCUUUCUUUUCUCCAGGUUCCGAAUCUUGUGCUCUAUAAUGGUAACUGCCUGCCGAAUAGGCGUAGUCGCAGUAUUUCCAUUAUCGGCCAAUGCAUUUUCCGAUGAGGAAAUCUGCUUGUCAAUCUUGACAUUAGCCGCAGACGGCAUUUUCACCUCUUGUAGAGCUAUUUUAACUACCUAGCGAUGCCCCUUGGGAAGAAGUACCGUUCGGUCAACGUUCUUUAACUUGUUUUCGGUUUUACCACGAAAAAUUCUUCGCUAAAAAGAUGAUAACAUAAAAGAAUCACACUCCAUCGAAAAGCCGACAACUGUCUCGAACUCGAACUGCUGAGCGCUGACAAGUAAUUAACCGGAAACGGUGUCGACGGCCAUUACUAAAACGCUAUUGGUCACAAAGCGGAUGUUCUGAACGCGGGAUUUUUAAAUGUAACGUAACCAUUGAUAUAAUAUAUUUCGCCUAUAAGGGUAUUUAAAAAAAAAACAUUUUAAUAUUAUAUUAGUCUUAGUUAACUGCUGAUAUUUCUCCAUUAAAAAAAACAAACAAUGUAAUAUAUCACAUAGUUAUAAUAAAAAUUAAAUAGUUAAGAAAACUUAA